rnacentral:rRNA from 1 species
GCCCUAGUACGGCGAGUGAAGCGGCAACAGCUCAAAUUUGAAAUCUGGCCUCUGGCCCGAGUUGUAAUUUGUAGAGGAUGCUUUUGGUGAGGUGCCUUCCGAGUUCCCUGGAACGGGACGCCAUAGAGGGUGAGAGCCCCGUCUGGUCGGACACCGAUCCUCUGUAAAGCUCCUUCGACGAGUCGAGUAGUUUGGGAAUGCUGCUCUAAAUGGGAGGUAUAUGUCUUCUAAAGCUAAAUACCGGCCAGAGACCGAUAGCGCACAAGUAGAGUGAUCGAAAGAUGAAAAGCACUUUGAAAAGAGGGUUAAACAGUACGUGAAAUUGUUGAAAGGGAAGCGCUUGUGACCAGACUUGGGCCCGGUUAAUCAUCCAGCGUUCUUCGCUGGUGCACUUGGCCGGCCCAGGCCAGCAUCAGUUCGGUGCGGGGGAUAAAGGCUUCGGGAAUGUGGCUCCCCCGGGAGUGUUAUAGCCCGUUGCGCAAUACCCCGCGCUGGACUGAGGUUCGCGCAUCUGCAAGGAUGCUGGCGUAAUGGUCAUCAGCGA